rnacentral:rRNA from 1 species
GAUGAACGCUAGCGGCAGGCUUAAUACAUGCAAGUCGAACGGGAUUCGGGGUAGCAAUACUUUGAUGAGAGUGGCGCACGGGUGCGUAACGCGUAUGCAACCUACCUUUAACAGGGGAAUAGCCCCGAGAAAUCGGGAUUAAUACUCCGUAACAUUGCGGUGUGGCAUCACACUGCAAUUAAAGAUUUAUCGGUUAAAGAUGGGCAUGCGUGACAUUAGCUAGUUGGUGAGGUAACGGCUCACCAAGGCAACGAUGUCUAGGGGUCCUGAGAGGGUUAUCCCCCACACUGGUACUGAGACACGGACCAGACUCCUACGGGAGGCAGCAGUAAGGAAUAUUGGUCAAUGGGCGCAAGCCUGAACCAGCCAUGCCGCGUGCAGGAAGACGGCCCUAUGGGUUGUAAACUGCUUUUAUCAGGGAAUAAACCCCCGCUCGUGAGCGGGGCUGAAGGUACCUGAAGAAUAAGCAUCGGCUAACUCCGUG